UACGUAGGGUGCGAGCGUUUGUCCGGAAUUAUUGGGCGUAAAGGGCUCGUAGGCGGUUUGUCGCGUCGGGAGUGAAAACCUCGGGCUUAACUCGGGGCUUGCUUUCGAUACGGGCAGACUAGAGGUAUGCAGGGGAGAACGGAAUUCCUGGUGUAGCGGUGAAAUGACGCAGAUAUCAGGAGGAACACCGGUGGCGAAGGCGGUUCUCUGGGCAUGAUCUGACGCUGAGGAGCGAAAGUGUGGGGAGCGAACAGG
rnacentral:rRNA from 1 species